UACGUAGGCAGCGAGCGUUGUUCGGAGUUACUGGGCGUAAAGAGUGCGUAGGCGGUGCUCCAAGUCUGGUGUGAAAUCUCCCGCUUAACCGGGAGGGUGCGCCGGAAACUGGGGUGCUGGAGUGGUGGGAGAGGUAAGCGGAAUUCCCGGGUGUAGCGGUGAAAUGCGCAGAUAUCGGGGAGGAACACCAAUGGCGAAGGCAGCUUGCUGGGACGGUACUGACGCUGAGGCGCGAAAGCGUGGGGAGCAAACAGG
rnacentral:rRNA from 1 species